rnacentral:rRNA from 1 species
GAUGAACGCUGGCGGCGUGCCUAGUACAUGCAAGUCGAGCGAACAGACGAGGAGCUUGCUCCUCUGAUGUUAGCGGCGGACGGGUGAGUAACACGUGGAUAACCUACCUAUAAGACUGGGAUAACUUCGGGAAACCGGAGCUAAUACCGGAUAACAUGUUGAACCGCAUGGUUCAACAGUGAAAGACGGUCUUGCUGUCACUUAUAGAUGGAUCCGCGCCGCAUUAGCUAGUUGGUAAGGUAACGGCUUACCAAGGCAACGAUGCGUAGCCGACCUGAGAGGGUGAUCAGCCACACUGGAACUGAGACACGGUCCAGACUCCUACGGGAGGCAGCAGUAGGGAAUCUUCCGCAAUGGGCGAAAGCCUGACGGAGCAACGCCGCGUGAGUGAAGAAGGUCUUCGGAUCGUAAAACUCUGUUAUUAGGGAAGAACAAAUGUGUAAGUAACUAUGCACGUCUUGACGGUACCUAAUCAGAAAGCCACGGCUAACUACGUG